rnacentral:lncRNA from 1 species
UCUGCGACUGCGAGGAGCGAGCCGAGGUGUGCGAGGCGCGGGCAGACUUCCCCGGAGUUGCCCCAGGGAACUCUCAUUUGGGGUAAGCUCCCAAGCCAUGGUACUGCCGAAUCCAAGGAGAUGAUGUUGCAACCUGGAAGCAGUUGGUCCUCACCUCCCUGACACAUGGAAAGCAAAAACUCUUUCUCCUGAUUCACCAGAAAAACACUGACCACCAUCUUCGCUGCGAGGAGGUUGGCAGAGUCUUAGGAACUAAAGCCUUUAAACAAUCAGGGACCUCAUGUCUCUAGAAUAAGAACACACCAGAAGCCCCUUGUGCUGGGACUGGAGGUAAGUACUCCUGAUGAAAAU